AAGGCGGGCUGUCUCCUCCGAUUAUGUGUUGACUGGAUUUGUGCAACCCUCAGCCUUCUCCAGGGCCCCUCGGCUGGAGCAGCUUUCUGAACAAUUAUGAUCAGGGACGUGCAUAAUCAAGUUUGUUUUAGGCGGAUAACUGGAGCUGCAGAAAGGAGUCUGGUGGAGAGGGAGGCAGGCUGGUGGCUGGACGCUGGCCUCCUUGCUGCCACAUUGUGCAUAGGGUGAGGAGUGCAUCAUCGACGAGGACUGUGGGCCCAGCAAGUACUGCCAGUUUGCCAGCUUCCAGUACACCUGCCAGCCAUGCCGGGGCCAGCGGAUGCUCUGCACCCGGGACAGUGAGUGCUGUGGAGACCAGCUGUGUGUCUGGGGUCACUGCACCAAAAUGGCCACCAGGGGCAGCAAUGGGACCAUCUGCGACAACCAGAGGGACUGCCAGCCGGGGCUGUGCUGUGCCUUCCAGAGAGGCCUGCUGUUCCCUGUGUGCACACCCCUGCCCGUGGAGGGCGAGCUUUGCCAUGACCCCGCCAGCCGGCUUCUGGACCUCAUCACCUGGGAGC
rnacentral:sRNA from 1 species